rnacentral:rRNA from 1 species
UACGUAGGGGGCAAGCGUUGUCCGGAAUUAUUGGGCGUAAAGAGCGCGUAGGCGGUCCGAUAAGUCGGCUGUGAAAGUCAAGGGCUCAACCCUUGAAAGCCGGCCGAUACUGUCGGACUAGAGUCCGGAAGAGGCGAGUGGAAUUCCCGGUGUAGCGGUGAAAUGCGUAGAUAUCUGGAGGAACACCGGUGGCGAAGGCGGCAUCCUGGACCAACACUGACGCUGAGUGAGCGAAAGCCAGGGGAGCAAACGGG